rnacentral:rRNA from 1 species
GGGAAUAUUGCGCAAUGGGGGAAACCCUGACGCAGCAACGCCGCGUGAGUGAAGAAGUAUCUCGGUAUGUAAAGCUCUCUCAGCGGGGAAGAAAGAGGACGGUACCCGACUAAGAAGCCCCGGCUAACUACGUGCCAGCAGCCGCGGUAAUACGUAGGGGGCGAGCGUUAUCCGGAUUUACUGGGUGUAAAGGGAGCGUAGACGGCGUCGCAAGUCUGAAGUGAAAGCCCGUGGCUCAACCGCGGAACCGCUUUGGAAACUGUGAGGCUGGAGUGCUGGAGAGGUAAGCGGAAUUCCUGGUGUAGCGGUGAAAUGCGUAGAUAUCAGGAGGAACACCGGUGGCGAAGGCGGCUUACUGGACAGUGACUGACGUUGAGGCUCGAAAGCGUGGGGAGCGAACAGG